rnacentral:lncRNA from 1 species
AGACUAACUUGGUUUGGAGAAAAUUGGGAGAUUUUAUUAACUGGUUGAAGCCAGAAAGCCCCAAGGGAAACAAGCAAUAAGAGCCCUCCCUCACUUUGCUACAACAUUACAAGCAUCUUUCAGAAGUGCAGGUCAUCAGCAAUUCAUAGAGAAGUUCUAACCACAAUCAAGCUGUAAGGACACUUGUGAGAAGCUUUUCCAUCCGAGAAACACAAACAGUUCCAUCGAUCUUACUAACACCCUAGAGGGAGCGAAGUGGGAUGAUCUGUCACUACACCUGCAGCACCACGCUCGGAGGACAGCUCCUGCUCGCAGCUUCCAGACUCAGGUAAAAAAAAAAAAAAAAAAAAAAAAAAAAAUUGUGAGCGGGCGCCGUGCAUGCAUUUCAAUACCAGAUGCGCGUCGCAACCUAGCCCCUGUAGAGGCAAUCUGCUGCUGCUGCUGCUGCUAAGUGUCCUUUGGUGGCUGGUUGCAGCUUCAAGGUUUAAGAAAUCCCAUCUUUCAGGAAGCCUGAGGGGAAGGAAGGAAGUACGGGCGAAAUCAUCAGAUUGGCUUCCCAGAUUUGGGGAUCUGAAGCGGGCCCACGUCUUCCGGCCAACUUCCAUUGAACUUCCAGCACUCGAAAGGGACCGAAAUGGAGAGCAAAGAGACCUCAUUAUGGUUGCCCCUCUCUGGGACUCUGCAAGGCAACAUGCUGGCAUGAACAUGUAACCCGCAGAGAGUAAAUCAGGGAUGAGAACCCUUCUUCAUGCUCAGGAGACCCAGGGAAG